CGAGCGGCGGACGGCUGAGUAACGCGUGGGAAUCUGCCCCGAAGUGAGGAAUAACUGCCCGAAAGGGUGGCUAAUGCCGCAUGUGGUCUUCGGAUUAAAGCUUUAUGUGCUUCGGGAGGAGCCCGCGUAAGAUUAGAUUGUUGGUGAGGUAAUGGCUCACCAAGUCUACGAUCUUUAACUGGUUUGAGAGGAUGAUCAGUCAGACUGGAACUGAGAAACGGUCCAGACUCC
rnacentral:rRNA from 1 species